UGGGGUGUAGCUCAGGGGCAGAGUGCUUGCCUGGCAGGUGGGAGGCCCCAGGUUCGAACCCCACCCCAU
rnacentral:tRNA from 1 species